AUCACUUCUUGGUCUUUUUGCUAAGAUCAACUGUGGUAUCUGUUUUUGUCAGUUUAAUGUGUGAUUCAUCCCUUAUCUGAGACAAUAUAUUAAAUGGACUUUUAGAACUAGGAGAUGGACUAGAAAGUUGCUCCACCUACUUCAUGCCUCCACACAUUGACUUGAUAUUGCAGUACUUCCACAAAAAAGAAAAGAAA
rnacentral:snRNA from 1 species